rnacentral:lncRNA from 1 species
CCGCACGCUGAGAAAAGGUAACCGCUCUAGCGUUAACGACAGCAGGGCGCGAGAGCGUUGGUCCUCCGCUUCUCUUCAGCUGUAGAAACUUCGGUCGCUUGUGACAGCCCCAAACGCGUGCAGCCCCAAAUGCCGUGCACCGAACACCAGGUUUUGUCCUGGCGGUCAAGGCUCAGUAUGUUUUCAUUCCUCUCUUUCCUCAGCGGCCUUACUGCGCUUACCAAGCUCAAGCUGUUUGUCGCUGCCCUCGAUGGCAUCGCCGCCUUCUGCCGUUCCUCAGAAGCCCAAGGUGAUGCAUUCUUCCCUUAACAUUUCUAGAAAUGCACAGGACCUAUAUCUAGACAUAUCCUGAAGACAGUUCAUGAGGUUUUUGUAGUCCAUGUCACAAAUAAAAAGGCUAUGGAUGAUUCUGGUCUCUCCCUU